UGGGGAAUAUUGGACAAUGGGCGAAAGCCUGAUCCAGCCAUGCCGCGUGUGUGAAGAAGGUCUUCGGAUUGUAAAGCACUUUAAGUUGGGAGGAAGGGCAGUAAGCGAAUACCUUGCUGUUUUGACGUUACCGACAGAAUAAGCACCGGCUAACUCUGUGCCAGCAGCCGCGGUAAUACAGAGGGUGCAAGCGUUAAUCGGAAUCACUGGGCGUAAAGCGCGCGUAGGUGGUUCGUUAAGUUGAAUGUGAAAGCCCCGGGCUCAACCUGGGAACUGCAUCCAAAACUGGCGAGCUAGAGUAGGGCAGAGGGUGGUGGAAUUUCCUGUGUAGCGGUGAAAUGCGUAGAUAUAGGAAGGAACACCAGUGGCGAAGGCGACCACCUGGGCUCAUACUGACACUGAGGUGCGAAAGCGUGGGGAGCAAACAGG
rnacentral:rRNA from 1 species